GAAAGAACCAGCCUCUCUGGCUCAGGUCUCCUGGGUUCUGGAAACCCCUCGGAGAAUUCCAGGCUCAGUUCCCCACAUCCCACCUGCGCCGUCUGGUGUCUGGCUUUCCUGGGACCACAGGGCACGACUUCCCUCAGUGAGAGGGUCUACAGCCAGCCACGAGGGAGCCAGUGCCCACGGCAGUGGGGCAGGCACCUGUGCAGCAGCGGGCCAUCCAGCCGAGGCUGUGCUGUAGAGGCUUCACGCUGGCUCUCCAGAAAGCACAGACGCCCUGGUCUGUCACCUUUGCCGACUUCCACGAUGCCAAUCCACCCACACUGGCCAAUUGCAAGGUGGCAGCGCAAGGCCGCCGACUGCAGAGGCAGGAGGAGGAGAGGCUGCAUUCACGCCACGCCGCGGCACGGCACGGCACGGCACGCCACACAUCAGCGGCAACUCCACGCUGGAGGUCAGCAACCUGGAGAGCCCCGCACGGCAAAAUGCGGGGAAGUGACCAGGGAGCCAGGAGUGCGAGGCAUCGUCUUUGUUUUGAUACAAUUUAUUUAAUGAUAGGUUAGUAUAGUCUAGUUUUCAACAACAGCCACCUCUCACAACUGGCUCACAGAAACCUUGACAAGGUACCCAGCGGGCUCCGGCUUCCUCCCUGCCCUCAGCCAGGGAGAGCUGGCUUGUUUGCAAACACAGGCUUCGGGACGUAACCGCACCGCACACCGCCCUGCUGCCCCACGGAGAACUACGCCCCUGACGGUGGCUGGGGGCAAAGGGCAGAUGAGGUCACCACGGGGAACGGGCAGAGGGCCAGGCUCCUUGCUAAGAGACAGAAACUGCAGGACACUGACACACAAGAUUUCUCCCAGAAUCUACAUAGGACCAGUCCAGUGACCAGGGCAAGGAUGGAGAGGGAGAGACAGAAGAAAGAAUUUCAUGGAAUUCAGCAAGCACUGGACAACCUAUCCUAUUAGCAAAAGCAAUGCAUUCUGCCCCUCACCAUGUGCCAGGCAUGUGGCACUGCAUCGCCGACCAGCACAACACCGGGAAACUGAUCAAAAGGCCCUUGCAUCUCCAUGGCCCAGACAGCACCCUCAGGCCACCUCAGGCGCACGAAGGCUCCAUGGUGACAGGCUGGCCAGUAAUGCAACCAGGAGUUACUGAGGGUGGCCUGGCCCAGAGUCCCGGAGCCGAUGGGGAGAGUGGGUCUGCACUCAACAGCCACAGUGGAGGGGCCGGGGGCCCUGCGGGAGAACCAUGCCCUACACAGGGCUGGGGCGCUGCGCCGUGAAGCGCGGCCUCACUCUUCCACGUCCUGCAGCUGACUUCCAAGGGAAGUCCUCCCCAGGAGAUGGUCUGUGUGGCCUUUGCCUUGCAGCUGCGUGCUGGCGGGGAAGCCUGCUGGCACUGUGUCACACGCCGUCCGGGAUCGAUGGUGAGGAAGCCAGUGCCGGGCCUGCCGUGGGAGCCACUCUGCGGAGCGGGCACAGGGCGCACGAGGCAGAGGGCUGCAGCGGGUGGUUCACGCCGUGUGCUGCGUUUCUGGAGGGGAGGAGCAGGACCCGUGGGCAGUCAUUGCGCACAAAGCAAGCUGUUUCUGAAACAUUCAAACUUGGGGCAUUGUGGCUUCCGGGGACGACGUCCCUCUGCUCCGUCUGCAGGCGUCCCUGGGGACUGCCAGCGCGCCGGCCAGCCUGCCCUCCUGGGCCGAGGGCACUGCUUGCUGACCGGGAGAGAUCACACCUGGAUCUGGGUUUUCUGGCUGCGUCGCUGGCGAGGAGAUGAAGCAGCCGCCUGGGACACCCCCGCAGACCCACGAGCCGGCCGAGGCUCCGCGAGCGCGCCGGCCCUUGGAAGGACCUCAGCAGAUGCCUGCGCCUCUCCUCCCUUUUGCUCUGGUCUCAACUUUUUGUCGGUGUUUCACUUCCAGCGUCCCUGCAGCUGCUGCCUCUCACGCUGGCAGCUUGGGCUGCUCCCCAGGUCCCUUCCCCUGGGGCCUGAGGCUUGGGGCUGGCGGGCGCCCUCCCGGUGGGCCAGCCUUCCUCAGGCCCUUCACACCCAUGCAGCCUCCCGCUCCUGCUCGCCGCAACACGGGCGCGCUGUCUCCAUUUCAGAGGCCGUCUGAGACGGAGUGACUGCCCUGCGGCCCCACGGCACUACCCUCCCUCUCGCCACCCAGAGUCCUGUUCAUGUCACUGUCCUUGUCCUUCCCUCAACACAUUGGCUUGGCAUCUUCUCCAGCGGUCUCUUCCUCCCUGCACAAACUACGGUACCUGCGAGGGGCUGCACAUGCAGGUCAGGUGACACCUUGCACGGUGACUUCCAGAUGCACGUUGGUGCAAUGAGCAAUUUUGCUUGCAGAUGGAGCAGAGGGGGGUAAGGGAUCUCUCCAUGUUUCUCCGUUGGAACCGGCUGGAACUGGCUCCCUGCCAGAUGUCCCUGCAGGUGUGGCACACUUUGCAGGCCAACUUCAGGGUGUGGCUUUUGACUCUACCUCGGGCCUGCUUCCCGCUGCCAUGCCUGCAGUCUGGGUGCACUGGCUGCAAGUUGCCCCGGCAGCGCCCGCCUAGGGGACCCUGCUGGGAAGACACAGAAGAAAGCCUACACCGCCCAGGCCCCAGGUGCGAAGGUCAGGACACUGUGUCCCUGUGAGGCGAGGCUCCAGCAGGGGUCUCGGGCUUGGAGUUGUGGGUGGCACAGGCGGGAGGCAGAGGAAGGGGAGCCCAGGCCCCGCCGACCCUGCAGAGGACUGUAGCUUUCUAGACCUGUCUGAACCUCUCUGUGAUGAUGGGUGUCUAGGGAAUGGUCUGCCAGAGAACUGCCCUCCACAGGCCGCAGGAGAAGGUGCAGUGGUUGCCCUUGAACGCCGCGUUAGAAAAUAACUAGGAGCUCAAAACCAGCCUGAGCAAGA